AACUUUUGCUUAGAGAGGCAGCUCAGUAAUGGUUCUGUGUUUCAUCAAAUGGGUCUGAUGGACAGCAGAGUAAGCAGGAGAUAAAGAUGCUGCUGGAUGUUGCCCCAGCUGGAUGAGGAGGCUGCUGGCAAGUUCUUAUCUUUGGGUACUGGUUACGGGUCUGCCAAGAUGCGGGGGAAGAUGUGUUCAUUGCUCACAGUAACCAGAGCAGAGUCCUUCCAUAUGGAGCAGGAGGAGAGUGACUGAGACCCCUCAGAACAGUAUAGAAGCUGAAGAGCAAUAAGGAAUCAUGAUUGAGUUUUGCUUCUCUCAAGCAGCACAGCUGUGAGACUGAAAGCUCUCCAUUGUGUACUUGAAUCUGGGAGACAAAUUAUAGCAUACUGAGAUAUGUUCUUGUUUUGUUGAAGUCUUAGCGAGGUGUGGGAAUGGGCUGGAAGCUCUUCUUCAUGCUGCACUGCCUCCAGAUCACAACCUGGUAACUGCUUUAACCUUGUUACUUCUGCAUGAGCUCUUGCAUUACUGUGUGCCUCACUGCAAAGCUGAUGGAAAAUGCGUCUCAAAGGCAGAAGGAAUAUAAUCCUCCUGGGAUAGAACGGACACAGUCAUCGUGCAUCCCUGCAGCUUUCCAUGGCCACUCAUGUUUGUGGGCUACACCAUGUGCCAAUACCCAAAUACCUACCACUGCAUGCAAGGACAAAGCUGUCCAACUGCUGUGAUGCUGGCAUGAGAGCACUAGGGACUCGUUCUGUAAGAAGUUUGAGACAGUUACCAUCUACUCGUUCCUCCCUGUUUCUAAUUAGUUAUGGCACUGGCAUAAAGCGGGGUCUGUGUCUAUUAAGUCUUCAUCUGCUCCUCCUUAUUCCCACAUGAAGUCAUUAUCCUUCAUGUCAUCCCAACUGUGCGCUAUGGAAGUGAUUUAGGAUGUCUCAAAACAGAGCAUAAUGACCUCAGGUAUUGAAUAAAUGGAAGGAAAAGAGCUCUUGUGUCACACACAGCUGGUAACAAGCAGAGGGAGAUGGGGGGAAAGGAACUGGGGAGAAGCUGAUGCAUCUGUGGAGGAAUUUGAAGAACAAUCAUGAGAUUUUUACACAUGGCAGAUGUCUAAGAUAUUUUGACGGAUUCUUCUUGGAGCCUCUAAGCCACAGCAGGGCCCUGCCACAUAUUUUGUUCUUCGUAUAAUGAUGCUGUGCCAUUUGUACGGCAGUAUUGCUGUGCUCUUGGGUGGUACCAGCAGGACGAGAAGUGUGGUUAACAGUUGGCUUCGAGGGCCAGGCAGAAAUAUCAGCUUGCAGUUCAGUCCCUAGCCAAGAAUGAGGCACUCAAGAGCAAGGAAACAGAUUUCUUUUCUAAACAAGGGAUCAAAGCGUGAUGGACAAACGCUAAUAUCUUCCAGCCACGUGAAGCAACAAGAGGUGGUUUGGUAGUAACAGCUCGUGGUAAUCACAGGGACAGUGAGUACCAAUGGAAGAUGUCACAGGGUAUCUUGCCACGCUUCUACUACAGACAAAGCUCCAGUUCAAAGGCUGAUGGAGCUGUGGGGGAGCUGCUGACACCACAUAGCCAUCAGCCAUAGGAUCAGCUGGUGCUGAGGACUGCUGUUAGCUCUAUAUCAGUGUGGCUGCACUGAAUAAUCACUAUCAUGUGUGGGAAGUGGGAGAGAGAAUGCGGGUUCCUAAUGAGCAGCACAGGGUCGCCUGAGGUGAGUGAUCCAUGGCUGCAUUCCCUACCUGUGCCACGGGGAUGGUGCUUCUGUUCUCACCUCGGUUUAUCUUCUCUGUUUGGAUUUCAAGCUCCUCAGGGCUGUGUCUUGCUGCAUGUAUGUACAGUUCCUUGCUUAAUAGAGUCAUGAUCCAAAGUGAAGCCUCCGGGCACUCCUGUAUAUUAUAUCCUUACUAAUUUCACAAGAGGUUGCAAUCAAAUUCCUUUAUCGGGGGGGAAAAAAAAAGUCCUAGAGAAGAAUAAAGAAAGCUAUUAAAAACUGAGGAGCAU
rnacentral:lncRNA from 7 species